AACGUAGGGGACAAGCGUUAUCCGGAUUUACUGGGCGUAAAGCGCCCGUAGGCGGCUUAACAAGUUGGGUGUGAAAGCUCCCGGCUUAACUGGGAGAGGUCAUUCAAAACUGUUAGGCUAGAGGAUGGAAGAGGAGAGCGGAAUUCCCGGUGUAGUGGUGGAAUGCGUAGAGAUCGGGAGGAACACCAGUGGCGAAAGCGGCUCUCUGGUUCACACCUGACGCUGAGGGGCGAAAGCGUGGGGAGCGAACGGG
rnacentral:rRNA from 1 species